rnacentral:rRNA from 1 species
AUGCACGCCGGCGGCGUGCCUAAUACCUGCAAGUCGCGCGAACAGACGAGGAGCUUGCUCCUCUGACGUUAGCGGCGGACGGGUGAGUAACACGUGGAUAACCUACCUAUAAGACUGGGAUAACUUCGGGAAACCGGAGCUAAUACCGGAUAAUAUAUUGAACCGCAUGGUUCAAUAGUGAAAGACGGUUUUGCUGUCACUUAUAGAUGGAUCCGCGCCGCAUUAGCUAGUUGGUAAGGUAACGGCUUACCAAGGCGACGAUGCGUAGCCGACCUGAGAGGGUGAUCGGCCACACUGGAACUGAGACACGGUCCAGACUCCUACGGGAGGCAGCAGUAGGGAAUCUUCCGCAAUGGGCGAAAGCCUGACGGAGCAACGCCGCGUGAGUGAUGAAGGUCUUCGGAUCGUAAAACUCUGUUAUUAGGGAAGAACAAAUGUGUAAGUAACUAUGCACGUCUUGACGGUACCUAAUCAGAAAGCCACGGCUAACUACGUG